rnacentral:rRNA from 1 species
AGCGAACGCUGGCGGCAGGCCUAACACAUGCAAGUCGAGCGCCCCGCAAGGGGAACGGCCCACGGGAGAGUAACACGCGGGAACGUGCCCUUCAGUUCGGAACAACCCAGGGAAACUUGGGCUCAUAUCCGAUACGCCCGUAAGGAGAAAGAUAUAUCCCUGAAGGAUCGGCCCGCGUCUGAUUAGCUAGUUGGUGGGGGAAUGGCUCACCAAGGCGACGAUCAGUAGCUGGUCUGAGAGGAUGAUCAGCCUAACUGGGACUCAGACACGGCCCAGACUCCUACGGGAGGCAGCAGUGGGGAAUAUUGGACAAUGGGCGCAAGCCUGAUCCAGCCAUGCCGCGUGGAUGAUGAAGGCCCUAGGGUUGUAAAGUCCUUUCGGCGGGGAAGAUAAUGACGGUACCCGCAGAAGAAGCCCCGGCUAACUUCGUGCCAGCCGCCGCCGUAACAC